AGGUCUAUCUUCCCUGUAUGCGGUGGAGCGGGCGCACAGAGUCCCCAUGAGGCCGCUUCCGCCAGGCAGACCUCCUCGUCCUAUACUGGCGAAGAUCCUGCAUUUUAAAGACCGGGACACUAUCCUGCGGCAAUCAAGGGACAAUGAGGAGAUGGUCCUG